GCUGGAGUGGAAGACUCAUGGUCUAAGAGUUUUCUGUCUCCCUGGGCUGCGCCUUCCUGGCCCUUUGGCUACGGCGAGAAGCUUCCGUGGGACUGUUUUGGUUCGUGCCCACUGUCAUUUGUGAGUUGCUGGCCUCUUCGGCUCCAGUGAUGGGUUAUACAAGGACCACGAAUCUGUCCCAAGGUACUCAGUGAUGACUGAAAGUGGAAGUCUUUUUCUCAGACUUCACGUGACAAUAUGGUAUGUGAGUGGUGUUAUGUCAAAAGCUCCUUUUCCAUUGGCUAAUGUAUUUCAGACGGCAAAGGGAUAGUGUCACAGAGAGUGGCUAAAAGUGUGGCCUCCUAAGUUGGGGGGCUUGACUUUGAAUGUUGGCUCUGCCACUUGCUAACGUGGGGAUGGCGGGGAACCCGCCAGGGCCCAUGGCAAGGAACCACCCCUCCUGAGCUGCCUCCCUUCUCAGGCUUUCAGGAGAAGCCUCGGAAUCUUGGAGGUGAUAUAGAAGAAGUUGCCAACCAACCCUAUGGCUGUAGGAAAAAAAAAACCCAAAACACGUUAUUGGGGGAACCCCUGUUUUUCUUUUCCAAAGUGAGUGCCUGAAACCCCC